CCAGUGUCUGAGGCUCGCUGCAGACCUGAAGCUUGAUAUCGAAUUCGCGUGUCGCCCUUACCCGCUGAACUUAAGCAUAUCAAUAAGCGGAGGAAAAGAAACUAACAAGGAUUCCCCUAGUAACUGCGAGUGAAGCGGGAAAAGCUCAAAUUUGAAAUCUGGCAGCCAUGAGGUUGUCCGAGUUGUAAUCUAGAGAAGUGUCAUCCGCGUUGGACCAUGUACAAGUCUCCUGGAAUGGAGCAUCAUGGAGGGUGACAAUCCCGUCUUUGACAUGGACUACCAAUGCUUUGUGAUGCACUCUCGAAGAGUCGAGUUGUUUGGGAAUGCAGCUCCAAAUGGGUGGUAAAUUCCAUCUAAAGCUAAAUAUUGGCGAGAGACCGAUAGCGAACAAGUACCGUGAGGGAAAGAUGAAAAGGACUUUGGAAAGAGAGUUAAACAGUACGUGAAAUUGCUGAAAGGGAAACGCUUAAAGUCAGUUGCAUUGACUGGGAAUCAGCCCUGCAUCCUGUUGGUAUGCUGGGUGUACUUUCCAGUUGAUGGGUCAGCAUCAGUUUUGAACAUUGGAUAAAGGUAUGAGGAAUGUGGCAUUUAUUUAUAAAUGUGUUAUAGCCUCAUAUUGUAUGCAAUGGUUGGGACUGAGGAACACAGCACGCCGAAAGGCCAGAGAGUUAUCUCAUGUUCGUGCUUAGGAUGGCUGGCAAAAUGGCUUUAAUCGACCCGUCUUGAAACACGGACCAAGGAGUCUAACAUGCCUGCGAGUAUUUGGGUGGAAAACCCAUAUGCGCAAUGAAAGUGAAAGUUGAGAUCCCUGCCGGGAGCAUCGACACCCAGACUUGACGUUUUCUGACAGUUCUGCGGUAGAGCAUGUAUGUUGGGACCCGAAAGAUGGUGAACUAUGCCUGAAUAGGGUGAAGCCAGAGGAAACUCUGGUGGAGGCUCGUAGCGAUUCUGACGUGCAAAUCGAUCGUCAAAUUUGGGUAUA
rnacentral:rRNA from 1 species